rnacentral:rRNA from 1 species
AGAGUUUGAUCCUGGCUCAGGAUGAACGCUAGCUACAGGCUUAACACAUGCAAGUCGAGGGGAAACGACAUCGAAAGCUUGCUUUUGAUGGGCGUCGACCGGCGCACGGGUGAGUAACGCGUAUCCAACCUGCCCACCACUUGGGGAUAACCUUGCGAAAGUAAGACUAAUACCCAAUGAUAUCUCUAGAAGGCAUCUGAAAGAGAUUAAAGAUUUAUCGGUGAUGGAUGGGGAUGCGUCUGAUUAGCUUGUUGGCGGGGUAACGGCCCACCAAGGCAACGAUCAGUAGGGGUUCUGAGAGGAAGGUCCCCCACAUUGGAACUGAGACACGGUCCAAACUCCUACGGGAGGCAGCAGUGAGGAAUAUUGGUCAAUGGACGAGAGUCUGAACCAGCCAAGUAGCGUGCAGGAAGACGGCCCUAUGGGUUGUAAACUGCUUUUAUAAGGGAAUAAAGUGAGUCUCGUGAGACUUUUUGCAUGUACCUUAUGAAUAAGGACCGGCUAAUUCCGUGCCAGCAGCCGCGGUAAUACGGAAGGUCCGGGCGUUAUCCGGAUUUAUUGGGUUUAAAGGGAGCGUAGGCCGGAGAUUAAGCGUGUUGUGAAAUGUAGAUGCUCAACAUCUGAACUGCAGCGCGAACUGGUUUCCUUGAGUACGCACAAAGUGGGCGGAAUUCGUGGUGUAGCGGUGAAAUGCUUAGAUAUCACGAAGAACUCCGAUUGCGAAGGCAGCUCACUGGAGCGCAACUGACGCUGAAGCUCGAAAGUGCGGGUAUCGAACAGGAUUAGAUACCCUGGUAGUCCGCACGGUAAACGAUGGAUGCCCGCUGUUGGUCUGAAUAGGUCAGCGGCCAAGCGAAAGCAUUAAGCAUCCCACCUGGGGAGUACGCCGGCAACGGUGAAACUCAAAGGAAUUGACGGGGGCCCG